rnacentral:rRNA from 1 species
AUUGAACGCUGGCGGCAUGCCUUACACAUGCAAGUCGAACGGUAACAGGUCUUCGGAUGCUGACGAGUGGCGAACGGGUGAGUAAUACAUCGGAACGUGCCCGAUCGUGGGGGAUAACGAAGCGAAAGCUUUGCUAAUACCGCAUACGAUCUACGGAUGAAAGCAGGGGACCGCAAGGCCUUGAGCGAACGGAGCGGCCGAUGGCAGAUUAGGUAGUUGGUGGGAUAAAAGCUUACCAAGCCGACGAUCUGUAGCUGGUCUGAGAGGACGACCAGCCACACUGUGACUGAGACACGGCCCAGACUCCUACGGGAGGCAGCAGUGGGGAAUUUUGGACAAUGGGCGAAAGCCUGAUCCAGCCAUGCCGCGUGCAGGAUGAAGGCCUUCGGGUUGUAAACUGCUUUUGUACGGAACGAAAAGACUCUGGUUAAUACCUGGGGUCCAUGACGGUACCGUAAGAAUAAGCACCGGCUAACUACGUG